AAACACAUUCGUUGUUGAUGGUCUUUUUUAACACUGAUCCGACAAUAGCUCUUAGCAAUCCUAACCGCCAUUAGCUCCCCAAAUCGUCAUUUUCAGAAGAGAACUAAGAACAAAUCAGAAACAAAGAUUCUACCAAGAUAUUACAUCUACUCAUGGAAAGUAAUCUAACUAACAUUGACUUAUAAAAACGUAAAAUGAAGAAGCAGAAAUACAGAAACUCACCGGCCCGAUCCUUUUAUGUAACUAAUGGUCCAAACUCUCUCGAGAAC
rnacentral:lncRNA from 1 species